GACGUAGGGCGCGAGCGUUGUCCGGAUUUAUUGGGCGUAAAGAGCUCGUAGGCGGCUUGUCGCGUCGUCCGUGAAAACCUGCAGCUCAACUGCAGGCUUGCGGUCGAUACGGGCAGGCUGGAGUUCGGUAGGGGAGACUGGAAUUCCUGGUGUAGCGGUGAAAUGCGCAGAUAUCAGGAGGAACACCGGUGGCGAAGGCGGCAUCCUGGACCGGCAUUGACGCUGAGGAGCGAAAGCCAGGGGAGCAAACGGG
rnacentral:rRNA from 1 species